rnacentral:rRNA from 6 species
AGACCCGAAACCCGGUGAUCUAGCCAUGGGCAGGUUGAAGGUUGGGUAACACUAACUGGAGGACCGAACCGACUAAUGUUGAAAAAUUAGCGGAUGACCUGUGGCUGGGGGUGAAAGGCCAAUCAAACCGGGAGAUAGCUGGUUCUCCCCGAAAGCUAUUUAGGUAGCGCCUCGUGAAUUCAUCUCCGGGGGUAGAGCACUGUUUCGGCUAGGGGGCCAUCCCGGCUUACCAACCCGAUGCAAACUGCGAAUACCGGAGAAUGUUAUCACGGGAGACACACGGCGGGUGCUAACGUCCGUCGUGAAGAGGGAAACAACCCAGACCGCCAGCUAAGGUCCCAAAGUCAUGGUUAAGUGGGAAACGAUGUGGGAAGGCCCAGACAGCCAGGAUGUUGGCUUAGAAGCAGCCAUCAUUUAAAGAAAGCGUAAUAGCUCACUGGUCGAGUCGGCCUGCGCGGAAGAUGUAACGGGGCUAAACCAUGCACCGAAGCUGCGGCAGCGAACGUAUCACCCAAGACAACUUUACGGAGUUGACGAUUGACGGAGCGAAGCGACGUCAAAGCGUUCAUUAAAGUCGAGUUGGCUUAGGGAUACGUUCGUUGGGUAGGGGAGCGUUCUGUAAGCCUGUGAAGGUGUGUCGUGAGGCAUGCUGGAGGUAUCAGAAGUGCGAAUGCUGACAUAAGUAACGAUAAAGCGGGUGAAAAGCCCGCUCGCCGGAAGACCAAGGGUUCCUGUCCAACGUUAAUCGGGGCAGGGUGAGUCGACCCCUAAGGCGAGGCCGAAAGGCGUAGUCGAUGGGAAACGGGUUAAUAUUCCCGUACUUGGUGUUACUGCGAAGGGGGGACGGAGAAGGCUAUGUUGGCCGGGCGACGGUUGUCCCGGUUUAAGCGUGUAGGUGUGUGUUCCAGGUAAAUCCGGUUCACUUUAACACUGAGGCGU